GCCGGGAUACUCAAGCGGUCAACGAGGGCGGACUGUAAAUCCGCUGGCAUUCGCCUACGUAGGUUCGAAUCCUGCUCCCGGCA
rnacentral:tRNA from 4 species